rnacentral:lncRNA from 1 species
CGCCGCUGGUGCCCUCAGUGAAGUCGGGGAUCACCCCCCACCCCGAAUCCGGGCUCCCCGCGCUGCGUAGCUGAUGAGAACUCAGGCCGGGUCCUGAUCCGCUCAUUUCAGAAGAGCGGAAGGAUCCUGUACUGAUGCCUUUCCCCUCGUAGUGCUGAAAUCAUUCUUCAUUUCAGCCCUUUUCACCAUCUUUGUUCAGUGACUUUAAUUUUUUGGCAGAGUUCUCACGAUGGUGUUUACCAGUUGCUGUGGUCUAAGUGUUUGUGUCCCCAAAUUCAUAUGUUGAAACCCCAGGGGCUGAUGUGAUGGUGUUACAUGUGGGGCCUUCGGGAGGUGAUUACGACGUGAGGCUGGAGCCCUCAGGAACCGGGUUAGUGCCCUUAUAGGAGAGCCCUCUAGAGCCGCCUCCCCCUCCGGCCGCGUGAGGACUCAGCUCUGAGAAGGUGCCGGCUAUGACCCAGGAAGACGGCCCUCGCCAGAAGGUGACCAGCUGGCUCCUUGACCUGGACUUCAGCCUCCAGAACUUCAUGUGAUCAGCCACAAGCAUAUACAGAACUAGCCAAUACAUGGAGCUCAAGGUGAACACCCAGCUCCCAGCACAGAGCCUGACGCAGAGCCGGAAUUGGGUAAAUAUUUGUGGAGUGAAUAAUAUAAGAUAAACUGUGGAGAGAGGAUUGAAUUCCAGAGUUCCGGGUGUAGAAGCCAUGACAUGAUUUAUAAAUGAAUAUUUUCUAAUGGUGACACAGAAGCAUGAUACACAGUAAAGGGAAGUCAAGCUAGAAUGUGCAUUCUUUAAAAGUAAAGCACAAUGUGACUAGCUUAUGUUCAGCAAAUUACAAGUUAAUUGUAAUAAAAAUUGAGACAAUGUAUUUUCUUGGGAAGAACAGAUGUAAGAUUUCCAAUACCAAAUCUAGCACUUGGUGGACUAAAUUAGAAUACAUGUUUAUCACUUCAUUCAAAAAGCCAUUCACCAUGACGGUAUUAAAACAUAGGUUUCAAUGAAAAGUUCAAUUUACAUUUUUCAGAGUUUUAAA